UGCAGUUAACGCAAUAAGUUCUCCGCCUGGGGAGUAUGCACGCAAGUGUGAAACUCAAAGGAAUUGACGGGGGCCCGCACAAGCGGUGGAGUAUGUGGUUUAAUUCGAAGCAACGCGAAGAACCUUACCAGGCCUUGACAUGGAUAUAAAUGUUCUAGAGAUAGAAAGAUAGCUAUAUAUCACACAGGUGGUGCAUGGUUGUCGUCAGCUCGUGUCGUGAGAUGUUGGGUUAAGUCCCGCAACGAGCGCAACCCUUGUCUUCUGUUACCAGCAUUAGGUUGGGGACUCAGGAGAGACUGCCGGUGACAAACCGGAGGAAGGUGGGGAUGACGUCAAAUCAUCAUGCCCCUUAUGGCCUGGGCUACACACGUACUACAAUGGCGCCUACAAAGAGCAGCGACACCGCGAGGUGGAGCGAAUCUCAUAAAGGGCGUCUCAGUUCGGAUUGAAGUCUGCAACUCGACUUCAUGAAGUCGGAAUCGCUAGUAAUCGCAGAUCAGCAUGCUGCGGUGAAUACGUUCUCGGGCCUUGUACACACCGCCCGUC
rnacentral:rRNA from 1 species